rnacentral:lncRNA from 1 species
UUUUUUUUUUUUUUUUUUUUUUUGUCUUUUUGCCAUUUCUUGGGCCGCUCCCGCGGCACAUGGAGGUUCCCAGGCUAAGGGUCGAAUCAGAGCUGUAGCCACCGGCCUACUCCAGAGCCACAGCAACGCGGGAUCUGAGCCGUGUCUGCAACCUACACCACAGCUCAUGGCAAUGCCGGAUCCUUAACCCACUGAGCAAAGCCAGGGACCAAACCCGCAACCUCAUGGUUCCUGGUCAGAUUCGUUAACCACUGCGCCACUACGGGAACUCCAUGUCUUCCUGUUCUUAUUUGAACCUUUUUUUUUUUUUCCAGUUUUUGUUUCUAAUAUGCUGCCAAAUCACUUUUGUCAGGGUCACUGAGGGUUUCCCUGAUGACAAAUCUAUUGAAUGAGUUAUUAAUUUUUAACUUUACCUACCCCUAUUCAAUAGCCUUCCUCUUUGACAAUGUUCCUCAUUUGGCUUUGAGGUAGUUCUUUCUCCUGGUUUUAUUCCUACCAAAGUGGCUACUUUUGCUCUGUUCCUUUCAAUGGUUCUGCCUCUUCUUACCUCUAAAUUUCAGAAUACCCCAAGACUCAGUUUUAAGACCUCUUCUUUAUGGAUGGCCCCUCUCUGGGUGAUUUUACAUAGUACCUUGGCUUUAAAUUCCAUCUGUAAACUGAUAAGAAUCAAAUUUAUAUUUUUAAUCCAGACUGCUCACUUGAUAUCCAGAUUUAUAUAUUCAGUAGCUUAUUGGACAUCUCCACUUGACUCUAAUAAACAUUUCAAACUUGUCCAAAACUGAAUUCUAGUGUUUCCUACCAAAGUUAUUUCUUUACAGUCUUCCCAAUCUUAGUAAAUGAUAACUUUUUCUUUAUAUUUGCUUAGGCCAAAAAUAUCGAAGUUAUUUUUGACUUCUUUCUUUCUCCUUCCCUAUGUGUUGGUAAAUUCUGGUAGUAUUCCCUUAGAAAUGUAUCCAGAAUCUGAGUGUUUCUUACCAACUAUGCUUCUUUCACAUUCAUCCAAGCCAUCAUCUUGUGGACUUCUGUAAUAGCCUUCUAAUUUGUUUUUUGUUUGUUUGCUCUUGUCUCCAAUAAUCUAUUCUCCUGUAAAACUAUAAGUCAGAUCAUGUCACUCCACUGCAAAUGCUCCCCUGGCCUCUGAUCUCACUGAAAGCCCAACUGAAGUCUUUAUGGUUGUUUGUACAGCCCAAUUCAUACCCCUUUUAGAUCUCCUAUUUUCUUCUUUCCUUCCUCCACUCCAACCACACUGUCCUCCUUGAAUAUUUCAAGCACACUCUCAUCUUGAAGCUUUUUCCUCUGCCUGGAAUAUUCUUCUAGAUAGCCACAUGGUUUGUUCCCAGGCUAGGGGUCCAAUCGGAGCUGUUGCCACCGGCCUACGUCAGAGCCACAGCAACACUGGAUGGGAGCCGCGCCUGCAACCUACACCACAGCUCACGGCAAUGCCAGAUCCUUAACCCACUGAAGGAGGCCAGGAAUCAAACCCGCAACCUCAUGGUUCUUAGGUGGAUCUGUUUCCACUGCGCCAUGACGGGAACUCCUUGUUUGUUAACUAUUUUUCACAAUAGGGUACUGUACUCUAUGAGGGAAAGGAUUUGAUUCAUAAUUUUGUAUAGUUUUAACCCUGUGCGUAAAACAGUACCUGACUCAUACUAGGUGUUUUGAUAGCUGAUCUCUGACUGAAUGAAUCAAUAAAAUGAAGAUAAUACCUGCAUCAGUUUUGGGCUGAGGAUAAAAUAAUGUGCUAUAUAUUAACCCACUUGAAAAACCUACAGGACUGUAAUGUGUUGACUUAUAUUGCUUCUUAGAUCCUGCAUGAUUGUGGAAUGCUGCUAAAUAAUUCUCACAAAUAGUCUGUCCCUGCCCUGUGAAGAUGGAGACUGUCCCUCUAAAUAGAAAGAGAAACUGCAAGCCAAGAACUAGUCUACAUAUAUAAGGCAGGGGAAAAAACUGUUGGAUUUUCUUUUUUUUUAACAUAUUCCCCACACGGAGAUAAAAAUAGUGUUAGCUUUGAACUUGAAGGAUGACAUUAUAUGUGAAGUAGCACAUUUUUCAUUUUUAUGUAUAAUUUUUGACAAUUAUGAUGUUAAAUGUAUUUUUAACCUAUGGAUUUGCAUUAAUAUUGAGUGAGGUUUUCAUUUUCCAUUCCGUUGCAUUUAAAUUUUGUACUUUUAACUUUGGAUGAGAUUUUCUUUAUGUUCCAGCAGAAAAGUUAGAGGAAAAAAAAAAACCAGAAAAAAUUAGAAGAUACGAAUUUUGAAAUUUUAUUGCCAAAUGGCUCCAGUAAUACAGGUUUUGAAAGCAAUAGCUUGGUCCACAUUUGUUCCUAGCACUCCUUUUAUUUCCUGUGUGGGUCUUCUGAUAAGAAAUCAUGUCCCAGAUGAAACAUUACCCUCCUAUGAAGAGUCUUCUUUGUUACUCUGAUCCAUAGAUAGGCCUCAGAGCUAUUUUCUCCCAAACCGUCACUGUAACCUACACUUUUUUCAUACUAUCAUUAUAGUGAACAUUCUUUGAUUCUGUUUUGAUAAUGAUAAAAUUUCUUGCACGUUGAUACAGUCAACAAACUUUGAGUUGCUGAAUUUUCCAAGCAAUGCCCUGGGGCUGUGGGUGCAAAGAUGUGUGAGACAUGGUCUCAAUAACUUUGUUUCGUAAACUGUGAGUUCCUUGAAGUUCUUCAGUGAGGCUCUUAUCUUUUCAUGGUGAUAAUUAGCACAGCACUAAAUAAAUGUAUGCAGAAUGAAUGGAUGAGCCUCCUGCUUAGAGCAGGAGUUCCAAGGACAGGAUUGUUACUGUGUUUACAGUGUUUAAUGCAAUGGCUGGCACAUAAUGAAGGCAGGUGUAAUGUGGAAAGUAAGUAAUGGGCAGUUAAAGGGCCGUCAUCCACUCUGUUUCUGAGACAGGCCAGCAGUAAAGUAAGUAACUGAGAAGAAAAUUUCUGAGCCCUCUUGGCUCAAAUUAGACAUUUAACCAGAGCUUCUCUGGCGACCUUUCUCUGUGCAUGCAUAUGUGGAGUAGCUGGAAGAACAAUACUCUGGAUUGAUUAGUCAUGUGAACCAGGGUAUGACUAGUCACCCAGAGGAUGCUGAGCAUCACUGAGAAAGGACCACAUUUGGGGGCUGAUGCUUUAAGGCAGUUCUCUUGCAGACCUUGGUUACAUGUCCAUGACACAUGAAAUUACUCUUGAAAUUUGGGGCAGGUUUGGUGCCUGAAGGACUUGUCAAAACAUUUCAGUAAUGUCACUGCCAGGUGGGUGAAGAAAGUUUGGAAAGUUAAUUGGCUAUUUUCCGACUGAAGACUGAAAAUUGAACUCAUCGGGACCUGCUUCCCAGCAUGUACCCAUUUUCGGGUGCUAUUAAUUUUUAAUUAAACUGUUUUGAUCUCACAUGGUACAUUUAAUCAACAGUUUCCUGACUAGUCAGCUCAGACAAGGCCGUGUUGUCUCUUACCAGAGUGAGGAAAAAUACUGUGAUUCAUGCGUAUGUUGAAUGGAAUCCCUCAAUCUUUCUAAGACUGCUAAGCUCUUUGAGAUCCAGGAUAUACCUUAUUUAUCUGUGUAAUUCCAGCUACAACAUAUUUUCUGGUACAUGGUAAAUAGUCAUUACUACUUUGAUGAAAUAGUGACCAACAGGACACGUAUGAAUGAAUAGAUUUGUUUACUUCAAGACUUAAGGAGUUCCCAUUGUGGCUCAAUGGUAACAAAGCCAACUAAUAUCCAUGAGGAUGUGGGUUCGAUCCCUGGCCUGGCUCAGUGUGUUAAAGAUCUGGCAUUGCUGUGAACUGUGGUGUAAGUUGCAGACGCGACUCAGAUCUGGCAUUGCUGUGGCUGUGGUGUAGACCAUCAGCUACAGCCUUGGUUUGAUCUGCUGCCUGGGAACUUCCAAAUGCCAUGGGUGGGGCCCUAAAAAGACAGAAAACAAACAAAAAAUAAAAACACUUGAGAUCACCAGGGGAGGGGUUUUCUAAAUAAAAUUACUAAGUAAAAUGGCAAGGGGUGUUGGUGUUCCUGUAUGCCCUUUAUUAUAAUUUUUAUUUCACAAGGUAACACAUGAAUACAUCCUCUUUAUAAUAAUUUAAUGCAUCACAGUCAAAGCCCCCUUGUCUGGAAUACCUAAUUAGUUUGUUCCCAGAGAUACCAUUAUUACCAGUUUGGUAGGUUUUUUUCCAGACCUUAGUUUUUGCAAAUUAGUAUUUACAGUUGUCCCUCAGUAUCUGCAGGGGAUUUGUACAGGACCCUUCACAGAUACCAAAAUCAGCAGAUGCUCAGGUCCCAUAGUUAUCUCUCUGUAUUCAGUUUUGCUUCUGGGAAUUCAACCAUUCACAGAUCGUGUAGUACUGAGUAUCGAAAAAGAUUAAUGUGUAAGUGGACCCACACAGCUCAAAUGAGUGUUGCUGAAAGGACAGGUGUGUGUGUGUAUGUGUGUGUGUAUCAGAAAAUGUAUAUUAGGUAUGCGUGUAUGUUUAACUAACGUUUAACAUGCACGCAUGUUUAAAUAAUAGCAUAUACCUUUUUAAAAAAUUUUGCUUUUUUCACUCAAUAGUAGGUUUUGAGAUCUGUCCCUAUGGGCAUAGUUGGAUUUACUACAUGGUUUUGGAUUGUAAACAUGCUAUUCUAAGUAGUACAGCCAUACCACUUUACCUAUUUCCUACUAAAAGCAAUUUAGAUUGCUUUUAAGGUUUCAAAAAUUUAAAGAAUGAGUCACUGGACAUCCUUAGACACACAUACAUAUGUAUGUGGAUUAGUCUUUUCAUACCCGGAAUUAGAAUUGUUAGGUCCCUGAGUGUUAAAGUUUUGAGAGGUAAUACCAAUAUUAUCAUCCAAAGUGGCUUUGCCGAUUUACAUUCCCACUAACAGUAUGUAACAAUAUCUACUUCCUGAUAUCCUUACCACUCUAUUGUAUUAUAAAAGUUUUUAACUUUUGCAAAUCUGACUAGAUGAAAUGACAUCCUAUGUUAGUUUUAUUUCACUUAUCUUGAAUCACGCCUUUUGUAAGGUUGAAUAACCUUAUGUGUUUAUUGCCUAGUUCUGUUUUCUCUUCCUUAGAUAUCCCAUUUUUAUUUAGUUCUAGUUCUAACUUAAUAAACAAUGGAAAGGAGAGCAUGGAAACCUCAAUUAUGCUUAAUCGAACCUCAAUCCUUAAUCUAUCUUUCUUCCAUGGAACAUUUCUUUCUAGGCUUAUGUGUUCCUUUGCUCCUUAAUUUGCUAAUCAAAUUCAAAUUGAACACACACUAUAUAUCAGACAUAUACUGGAUCUGGGGAAACAGUAGGGAACAAUCAUGGUUUUCUCACUCACAAAACUUACAGUUAGCAGGAAACACCUGCCAAUGGCUCAAACCCCUUUCUACAUUUCUGAUAGUAUUUCUUAUAAUGGCAUUGCUAACUUCUGCAAACCUAUUGAUGUUUUUUCACUUUUCUCCAAGAGCACACCCAGUGCUUAAUAUUCUCUGACCAUUAAUAGAAAUGCCCUUCUUCUAUUUGUGAUUUAGGAUUGUUCACAUAUUCAUAUGUAGGGAUGAAUCCCUUCCUGGUAGCUAUAUCGCCAGCUAUUGUGAAUUUAGAAAAUAAAAUGGUUAAUUAUCUCAUGAUUUUGGCCUAUGUCCUUAAGGCAUCAAUUUCCUCCCUGAUAAUCAUCUAUAAGGCAAGUCAUUAUUUCCUGAUUGUAGGCACUUGCUGAUUCACUGGCAAAAAGCAAAUGAAAUGGGGGACCCAAAGAUUCUUCAUCCUAAAACUUCAAAAGGAAUACUUGAUGCCAGAAAGACUUAGUCGGGCAUUUAGUUUAGUCCCACUGAUGUUUAUUGUGUGAUGUGUAUAUUAGAACAUGGCAAAGCAGCAAGACUCAAACCAGAUUUAUAAGUGCUGCUCCAGAUAGGUAGAAAACAAACAGAUCAAAAUGGAUUUGAAGAAAACAAGAACAAAAAAUACUCACUAUCCCAUUUAUAAUGAGAAACUCUGGUAAGCAUUUUGUCUGUGGUUAUUUCUUUAAUCCUCAUGGUAGUCUUGUAAGGUAUAUACUGAUAUCCCAGUUUUACAAAUGUUAAAAAAUGAACUUGAAAAAGUUUAAGAAAUUGCUAAAGGAUAUACAUCUACUAAAUGGCUAAGAUGGGCUUUUAGCACAGGUUUGUCUGGUUCCAUGGCCUGGCUUCUUCCUCUGAGUCAUUGCCAGUGAAGCUGGAAAUCCACUAUUGGUGCCACAAUCAGAGGAGACUGGGGGUUCCUUGGAGUGACCUGGCAGAGAACUCAUUGUGGUGACAUAGUGCUAAGCCUUCUUAAAGCUCUGACCCCACAUGGGAUGUGGAAAAAGUAAAUCAGGCCUGUCGUCUUCAUGUGUAUAUCCACUCUUCAUCCAUCCUUUGUUAAUAUCGCAGAGGGAAAAAGCAUCACUUUUUGCAUUUAGGAACAGAUAUGUUUACUUGAUACAUCUAGGAUAAGAUUUGUUCUUUUGGCCACCUUCACUCAUAUUCUGGUUAGAAGAAGACACAUGUUUGUAUCUAAUAAAUAUUUUUUCGUGGUGAUUCCAAAAAAAAAAA